UACGAAGGGGGCUAGCGUUGCUCGGAAUCACUGGGCGUAAAGCGCACGUAGGCGGGUCGUUAAGUCGGGGGUGAAAUCCUGGAGCUCAACUCCAGAACUGCCUUCGAUACUGGCGAUCUUGGAGUCCGGGAGAGGUGGGUGGAACUACGAGUGUAGAGGUGAAAUUCGUAGAUAUUCGCAAGAACACCAGUGGCGAAGGCGGCUCACUGGCCCGGUACUGACGCUGAGGUGCGAAAGCGUGGGGAGCAAACAGG
rnacentral:rRNA from 1 species